CUGUUCUCAUGAACAAGCUCAGUGGUUUCAUAGUUGUACACAGAGCGAAUCUCAUCCUCUGUAUACUUAACAUUAGGGCUCUCAACCUUAAACUUCUCAAUAAACAUUUUCUAUUGAACAAAAAUGAGAGAAAAUAAAUGAACCAAACAAGAGUCUGAGAUUGUAAGCGAGAAAAUGAAGGAGAAGAAGAGAAAAUUGGCUAACAAUCUCAACCCUUG
rnacentral:misc_RNA from 1 species